CACGCGUCACUCGUGCGCACGCGGCCGGUGCGGCCCUGGAACGCUGCCCGGGGUAAGCUUGUGCUCCGGCCUCCGGCAGGUGCGAGCUCGCCGCUCUGCCCCGCCGCCCCCUCCCCGGAACUGGCCCGGAAGGCCCCUCUCAGUCGCCCCCCCCCCCCAGGCUCCGGGGGCGGCGGGCCUGACCUCCCCUGCCCUCCCGUGGGCGGGCCGCUCCCCUCCCCUGGCGGCGGCGGCUCCCCGACCCAGAUGCGCCCGGGCGGCCCGGAGUGGGCCACCUGUUCCGCCGGUAGCUUCUGCUACCUCAGCACUCCUAAAGAGACCAAUUAGUGACGACUUCCUGCCAUUAUCCACCGUGGCCGUGGACGCGACCGUGCUGCUAUUCGGCCAGAAUUGGAAUCCGAACGCACCAAACAGUUCAUGUACCAAGCAGUAUCUGUUGUUAUCUGCGCACCUCCCUGUACCCCCUCCCCCAGGUCAGCAGUGGCAGGCCAGGCUGGGACGGACACCGGCCCGUGUGGGUGUGAUCUUCUCGGUGGCAGAUUUGCUGGUGUGAACUCAACCACCCUCUCCUUCGGCGGGGUGGGGGAGGACCUCAGGCAGCACGGUCCCCGACCUGCAGCGGGGGGGUCUUUAGAAAGCGAGCCUUUGAUGACUAGACACAUUCUGUAAGGGAGCCAGGAAGGCUGGGCUCCUCCAAAGCAGGCGUGUGUUGUGUCCAACCCUAAAAUAAGAAGGCCCCUGGGCCCAGACUCACUGCGAAGCGCGGGCCAGCCGGCAGCUUGUCUGGAGAGGGGUCGUGAAGGCGGCAGCGCUCUGGAAAAGCUGACUUCGCGGGGACGCGUGUUCUCUCCCUGGUUCCUGACACAGUGUGAGUGAACCUGCGACACAAUGAAAUUGAAAUCCUCCAGCAAAAAUACAGGCUACUUCCCUGGGGAAGACUGUUGUCCCCCAACCUGAUUAAAGGGCCUGCGGGAGCUCCCCCUGCUCCCCCACUUCUUGGGGGGAAUUGGUCUCUCUUUGUAAGGCAGAGCCCCCAACUUGUGCAAUAGAGAGGCUGGAGACGCCUCCAGUGUUCCCGUCGGAAGGAAGCCUGCAGGUGGAUAAGGCCUGCCUCCGCCCGCCCAGCCCGGGGACCAGCGCUUAGCCCUGCCCCCCACCUCACCCCUACCCCCAGCACCCCGACAGCCAAGCCAGUGCCUUCUCUUUGGUGUCCAUGGACGCUGGGAGACUGCCCAAGGCCUGAGCGUGAAGCAGAUAUUUUUGUAUCUGGAGGAAAUUUCCAAAAAUAGAGGGCCCUUGGGUUGCUGAAGUUUCAGGCAUUGAAAUGCUGCGGCAUCCUCCUGACCUCUUAGCGAAACCCCAGCAGUGAGCCCCGCCCCGUUUGGGCCGGGUGUUUGCAUCUAGGGCUGGGCCCCGUGGACAGGGUCAGACCUGUAAGGGGCCACUUGAAAUCCAGGUGUCGAGGGCGAGGCCGACCAGGAGGGGCCUCCAGAAAAGGCACCAAGCGCCCCUGGCAGGCCCCACCUGUGGUUG
rnacentral:lncRNA from 1 species